rnacentral:rRNA from 1 species
GACGAACGCUGGCGGCGUGCCUAAUACAUGCAAGUUGAGCGCUGAAGGUUGGUACUUGUACCAACUGGAUGAGCAGCGAACGGGUGAGUAACGCGUGGGGAAUCUGCCUUUGAGCAGGGGACAACAUUUGGAAACGAAUGCUAAUACCGCAUAAAAACUUUAAACACAAGUUUUAAGUUUGAAAGAUGCAAUUGCAUCACUCAAAGAUGAUCCCGCGUUGUAUUAGCUAGUUGGUGAGGUAAAGGCUCACCAAGGCGAUGAUACAUAGCCGACCUGAGAGGGUGAUCGGCCACAUUGGGACUGAGACACGGCCCAAACUCCUAUGGGAGGCAGCAGUAGGGAAUCUUCGGCAAUGGACGAAAGUCUGACCGAGCAACGCCGCGUGAGUGAAGAAGGUUUUCGGAUCGUAAAACUCUGUUGGUAGAGAAGAACGUUGGUGAGAGUGGAAAGCUCACCAAGUGACGGUAACUACCCAGAAAGGGACGGUUAACUACGUG